CAGCUUUUCACCUGGAGUAAAUCAAUAGCUCUCCACUAUAGCACAGCUGAGCUGUCCCAGCUGAAUUAUUUAUGGAGCUAAUUGGGCUCACUUGUAGAGGAGAGGAAGUUGCUAUGAGUUUUGUGGUAGAAGGGUGAAGCUGAGUGACCUGAGUGGUGAUUGAUUGAAAGUGCCUUGGUAGUAAUCCCUGCUCUUCUGAUGAAGCGCCUCUUCCACAGAAGAAUGUGUGCAAGGGAUAGAUAUGAAGAGGAGCAAGGUCCUGUUUCUGAGUGCCAUGGUGUGGGUGCAUCUUUAUUUCAAGCCUAUUUCUCACAGCUUCCUUUUAGACCUCUUGGGCUAUCCUUCCAUCAGUGGCAAGUUUUCCCAAGUUAUCCAAAGGAAAGAUUUGGGGUUGAUUUUUAUGGGGCCAUGAUAACAAACUUUUGUUUAAAAUCCUAGAGACAGACUGAGAAAGAACAGUCCUUGUCAUUUCACCUACUACAGCAAACCUGCGUAUGGCCAAUACUUAAAUAAGAGGCUGAAAUUCUACUUUUCAGAUUCCUCUCCUGAAAACCAACAAAAUAUAUGCACAGAGCCCUGUGCCUGAAGCCUGGCUGCUCUGCACUUCCUAUCAUCUGAAGACUCAAAUGGCUUACCAUACUUCUUCAUGUUCUGCAGAAAGUAGUAUGUAGUGCACUGGAAUGGCUGCUCUUUCCAGAAGGUGAUUAAAGGAGUAAAUAAUAAUUGAUGCUAUUGCUCAUGUAAUUUGUGUUGUACGGUAAAAGGAGAAGUCCACACACCUUCAAGAUGCAUUUAUUCACAGACAGAAGGCAGAAAAAAGAUGCUGUGUUCAGCAGGUCAACCAUGGAUUGCUUCAGUCCUACAACACAUCUGGCACUGAAUUCUCAAUCCAACAGAGAAAACUAAUAUUUCAGACUCCACCAGUACUUCCACUUGUAAUUCAAGGACAAGGGAGAUGUGCAAGGUUAUGAAGAAGAAGUGGACCAGAAAUCUGGGCAGUGAUCUGAAUCCUGAAUGCCAGCCUUGGUUGAGGUCCCUAAUAUACCACUGUGUCCUCAUGGAGCCAGGAGCUGGACUUGAUGAUCCUCAUGGGUCCCUUCCAAGUUGGAAUAUUUUAUGGUCAUCUGAGUAGAAACUGGGACUGAAAAUCUGCCUGGCUUCUCCGCUGAGUGGCCACCACUGCCUUGUAAGGUAUUUGAAUGUGUGCCUUCAACCUGGAGAUAAAUUCCCUCCAGGUGUAUGAAUCAGAGAGUGCUCUUGAAAAUGGACGAGUGGGAUUUGUCCAGGUGAAGGAAUAUUGAAAUGGCAGCAGAUGGAAAAUUCUCCUCCCCCUUCUAUAUCUGAUGUCACAAACAAGGGGAAAAAUCAAACUGCCUCGUUAGGAUGUAUCCCCGCUAAGGACAUUUGUUGGAGAGGCGUUUCCUUGAUAAGGACUUUCCCUGGGAAGAAACAGUCUGCCUCUUGUAACAUGCCCUGAAACGUUGCUCCCAGAAACCAGAUGUUGUCAGAACUGUGUGAGAACAUGAGACAUUUUACUAUCAAAAUAUUUUGGCUUUGGAAGUUGGCAAAUCUUCCCACCUCACUAUGGGAAGCUGCAGGGAAAUAGAGCAACUGCACCCUGCCUCGGGGUCCCAUAGCACAUGAUCCCUUUUUUUUCCCUUUCUGCAGCCCACCCAAGCCUGGAUGUGCUUGCAUCUGAUAUUUUGCUAGCUUUUAAAUGAGAGUCUUCUUCAUUUCUUAUUAGAGGGAGACAGUGAUUAAAAGAUUGUGGGGGUUUUUUUUUUCUUUUUAAAUAUAGCCAGGUGCUUUCCUCUGAGUCUUGUUACUGACUCUCCCUGUGGCUUUGGGAUGCCUAGCCUUGUUCCAGUAAGCUCUGGAUCCUGCAAGCCCAAGAAGCUGAGAUGUCAGCUCUGUCCUGACAGCCCCCAACUCCACUCUGCCCCAUCCUCUCCACACCCACUGCGGCCACUUCCAGUUUCUGGCCCUGCAGAGUGCACACAGUCAGGCAGGUCAGGCUGCCCGUGGCAGAGUGCAUGAGAACUUUCCUCCAUCUAGAAACAUCUUUUUAAUGGAAUAAAUGUGGCUUCUUGCAGUGAGUAUCUAAACUAUAGCCAAGGAGAGGGGGCAGAGAAAGGGGCUCUCCAGCAGCUGUUAGCCUGCCUUUGCUGCAGCAGCAGCAAUUAACAAUGCUGGUCUUUAGGAGCUGGGUGUGCAAUGCAGCUGGGAGAAGGCUGCACUGACUCACCAGCAAACUCCACUCUAGGAGAGGAAACCUAGAAGGGAAACUGGGGGCAAUCUUUGCAGAAAGCUGGUACUAAUCUGCUGCCUGCCAGUAGCGUGGAUCCAGGGUCUCAGCCUAUUUAAGAGGGAUGUGUCCUUUGUUAUCAACUAGUAGCUUUUAAGUGGCACUUCUCACCCACUGAAUGCAAGAUGCUGCCUGACACUUGGACAGUAGGAUCUUUCUGACUUUAUGCAGGGUGGGAAAGCACUGAAACUGAAGUCACCUGCACAAUAUCGCAGGCUAGCUCAUGGACCACCAGAGAGACAUGAAGAUUUUCUAAAGCUGAACCAACUGGUGCAGCAUCCAGAUCCAUUCACACUUUCAGUUUGUUCCAAAACAAACAUUUAUCCAUGGAUCUCUUCAACACACUGAGGGCUUUUUCUGGUGGUCUGACCAGUCCAGCACUACUCAGGAAGCUGAGCCAUCCCAAGUUACUCCACUGAUAGGAAAUAUGGAAUCUAAAACAAAAGGAUGUCAAUAGGUAUCUCCAGGGGACUUUCUGUCUUGCCCACAGCAUGUUGUACUACCUGGAUAUCAAGAACACAAAGGUGAUAAAAACGGGCAUCGAUAUUAUGUAGCUGUAUAUGACCAAGACCUGUCCUGCUCAGAAAUCAUUGUUCUUUUUAUUCAAUAAGACAUUUUUCAUCAUCUGAAGCAGAAUGAUGAAGAACACCCCAUCUGCACCCGACCUCACCUGGCCACGCUGUUUUAUCAAGGCCUGGGAUACACAAAUAUUUUGUGACUUCUUAUUCAUAGCAGCUGGACACUGUCAGUGUGUCACCACAGUGGGAAGAUUAGGGCGCUUCUUCUCUAGGAACUCCGUAGGAGUUUCACUAUCCCAGCUUGCUUUAUAUGGCUAUUAAAAACUCCUCUAAAGUGGUUUUGACCUCAGCGCCUUUCUAGCAGCAAUGUGGUUCAGUGUGUUCUUGUGCUAACAGAGGAAAUGGGGCUUUUGUGGCUCUAUCACAUACUGAAGUAUAGACAUACAGAUUCACCAUGAAAACCACUUUUAUUGCCUUUCACAUAAAUUCAUAAGGUGGGACCUCAUAAAUUUGCCGUCACUUACUCCUGUGCCUACACUUCUCACACUGCCUUGAGGCAUGCAGCCCAUCUCCAGCAAUGAUUUCCUUGUUCUUGCAAAGAGGGAAUUUUUAGGCUAGCGUAUUUAGCAAUACUCAGUAAUUCAGGUAAAAUAUUUCUGUAGGAGGGAAGGAGGGAGGAGAAGGGAAGGGAAGAAAUAAAGAGGAAGAGAACUGCAGCCCCAGCUGGCUAAAACCCCAUCUGUUCUUCUUGUAUUGAUGUAUAGAUAGUCCUGAUGUAUUCAUAUUCCUCUACAGAAAAUGCUGUGGCUUGGAAAAAUUCUUCUUGACUGCUGUCUGUCAGUAUAUUUCCUUAUUCCAUUAAUAACAGCUAUGAGUAUGUUUACACAGCAGCUAACAUUUGCAAAAUGCUUUACCCAUGAAUACAUAUCCUAAUUACUCAUAGAAAAUUAUAACCUUGCCCAAAAUUAGCCAUUUUUGUUUGCCUGACUUGCUUCCAAUCAGAUUGUGAUUAUAGGAAAGUUAAUGAAUGCUUCAUACAAGCAUGCUUCGUCUGGAGGAUGGCUGGUAAUUAUGGCAUUGCUGUGAAUUUCACUGUGCAUUCUGCAUUUGCUUUCCAAAAUCAAAGCGCUUUUGACUGCACAAAUAAAUCACUGAGAUAUCUCUGUUA